rnacentral:lncRNA from 1 species
CUGAUCCUCCUGCUUCAGCCUCCUGAGUAGCUGGGACUACAGGUGGGGAAACCAAGGCAUGGGGGAGGUGAACUAACUUGCCACACAGCUGAUAAAUACUAGAGCUGGUGAAGAAGGAGGCCGUCAGGGAAGGCUUCUGGGGAAGGUGCUGCACCUGUGCCAGGCCUGGAGCAGGUGAUAUCAAUAUGGAAGAAAGGGGAAGGCAUCACGCUUAGCUGGGGCAUGGUUUGUACUGGCUACAUGUCUCUUUGGAGUCCUGUUGCCAACCUGCCCACACUGGGCUCAGCAGCCCCAGGGAACUCUGGGCCUGCCCUGGCCUCCACCUGCCACACUGCCUUAGUGAACAUUCCCUCAGCCUGGCACAAAGCAGGAGGUUUUGGGUAGUUGCUGGACCCUUGGGACUUGAUGUUUACACCUGCUCACAGGUGGAUGCUGCUUCAACAACCACUCCUGAUUUCUUUUGAUACUUCUCUUGCUGAAAAUAGUUGAAUUACAAAAACAAUGCACAGUCAUGAUAGAAAAUGCGCAAUCAUUAUGCACGGAGUGGGAAGACAACCAGAACCGACUCCUGCUGCUUUUUCAAGUUGGAGGAGAUGACUCUCAAAAGGUUUCUUGAUGAAAUUUCCAACAUAAAAGACAAGAUCUUAUUGCUGGAAGAAGUGGAUUUUGUGAGGGAGGGCCUCAUACUCUGCAUAUGAAAACAAAGAACCUGAGGAUUUUGUUGUGUCCUCUUGGUGGCAGAAAGCAUGAUCCCGUUAAUCUGGAAGAUUUGAGGAUACUGAGAUGGCAGAAAUAUGGGCUACAAACAUAAACAAAUGGAAGAAAAUACCCCCUCUCCACCCAUCAAGAAGAAAGAGUAACUCCAAACAUUUUGAUCUGCAUGGAAGCCCUGCCCUUUGAAGUCGCUCAUGGACCCAGACUGAUAGAGGAUCUGUCUCAGCACAUGCUUCAAGAUUCUCAUACGUACAGAAAACAGAGAACAUGGUUAACCCUGAGCUGGCUCCUAAAGCUUCUUCCCAGAAGAUACACACACCACUUAGCCAAAGUAAAUCACAUAGGAUUCCUAGUACAAUGGUGAAGUGAUGAUAGCAGGUAUUCUACUGUGUUCCCUGUUGCAGAGAAGCUUUUAAGUUUUCACCAUUAAAUAACUUUGAAGAUAUUCCAUUGUCUCUGGCUUCUACAGUUUCCACUGAUAAGUUACCUGGCAGCCUCAUUGUUGUUGUUCCAGUCAAGGUAAUCUCUCGAUUCUUUACUGUUUUUGAUAUUGUUUCUUUGUCAUUUUUUAAAAAUAAUUUACUAUUAUUUGCCUGAAUGUGGUAUUUAUUCAGCGUGGGUUUCACAAUGUGUCCUGAAUCUGGGGCUUUGUCUUUUGUCAGUUUUAGAAAUUCUUCAUCCACUAUCUCUUUAGAUACUGCUUUUUCAAAUUUUCUCCCCUGUCCUUCCAGGAUUCUGUUUACACAUACGUUAGACCUUAGCACUGUAUUCUGUAUGUCUUUUAUGUUCAUAUCUGUAUUUUCAAUCCCUUUGCCUCUCCAUGAAUCUGGUUAUUCAUUGUGGAUAUUUUCU